CUGAAAUGAUGAAUUUUAGGGGAGCCUGAUAGGUGAGGAUGCGGUUACUCGCUGAAG
rnacentral:misc_RNA from 1 species